rnacentral:rRNA from 1 species
GACGAACGCUGGCGGCGUGCUUAACACAUGCAAGUCGAACGGAAAGGCCCUGCUUUUGUGGGGUGCUCGAGUGGCGAACGGGUGAGUAACACGUGAGUAACCUGCCCUUGACUUUGGGAUAACUUCAGGAAACUGGGGCUAAUACCGGAUAGGAGCUCCUGCUGCAUGGUGGGGGUUGGAAAGUUUCGGCGGUUGGGGAUGGACUCGCGGGUUAUCAGCUUGUUGGUGGGGUAGUGGCUUACCACGGCUUUGACGGGUAGCCGGCCUGAGAGGGUGACCGGCCACAUUGGGACUGAGAUACGGCCCAGACUCCUACGGGAGGCAGCAGUGGGGAAUAUUGCACAAUGGGCGGAAGCCUGAUGCAGCAACGCCGCGUGCGGGAUGACGGCCUUCGGGUUGUAAACCGCUUUCGCCUGUGACGAAGCGUGAGUGACGGUAAUGGGUAAAGAAGCACCGGCUAACUACGUG